UAAAAGGGCCGCCCUCCGGCCUCCUCGCCACCACCACACACUCACCGCCCCUCCCUUGUUCCUCCCACACGCGCCCCACCAAGCACCGCCGCCACCAGUGCCUCCUCCACCCGUGCGCCGCCGCCCCUUACCCAUUGCCGGCCGCCCCCUUCCCCAUCCUCAAGACUCUAAGGUGAAUAGCAUAACGGAGCCCUCACGGCCUCCUCUACCCUCUCCCGCCACCUCCCCUCGCCGCCGGCGAGCCUAGGCCGCCACCCCUAGGCCGGCCGCACCCCUCCUCUCCUCCUCACUCUCCCUCUCUGUUUCCUGGGAGAAGAAGAUAAGAUUCCCCAAAUUUCCGAUCUAACCCCCUGAAAUCCCCUAUUCGUAAAAUAACCCUUCCACCUCUCUCAAAGGUUGUUUCGCAGAUCUGCCCUUCCACUCCCAAAAAUAAUUAUAGAUAGGUCCCUGGUUUCUCACGGAUUAGUCCUAAACCUCCUUUUUAAGCCCCUAAUCCAUGUUUACCUCGUCAUUUCAUGCGCCAAAUUUCCUCCAAUUAAUCCCAAAUCCGACCACGUCAUCCUCCAGUAUACUUCCGCCGAUCCAUAUCCAAAUUUCCCAAAAAUACUCAUUCUACCUAUUUUCCGUUCGUGUUCUCUAUUCGGAGCUCAAUAGGUAAAAUCUUAUUUUCUUUUAUUUAUUUGUGUGCCCGUUUGUGUGUGCCGUAGAUCGCGGAGUACCCGAGGAGGAGCGCGAGCAGGAAUUUGACCACGAGCCCGAGCCUGAGGACCAGCAACACGAGCCG
rnacentral:lncRNA from 1 species